UCUUCUUUUUGUAUAUUCAUUCUUCUUCUUUCUUGCGUAUUCACUCACACUUCUCUCCCUACUUUAUAUGGGGCGUGUCUCUUUGUUGACUGGACAUAUCUUACGGACAUUGUAACAGCUAUAUAUGUGCUGUCCAGAUGCAAAUUAAGGGUGCAGUAAUAGGUUCCAUGACAGGUAACUGUGGCUUUUACCAUAUACCCGAUAACCAUCUACUUAAAUGGACAGUGAUCAACUUACGUGGGAAGAAGAAGGUUCCAGGCGAAAGGAUCAAUCAGAAACAAUGGAGUAUAUUUUGCAGCUGAGGCCCCCAAGCUCGAAGAUGAGUUUGAAUUAUAACGAGUUGACUGGACCUUCAGAAGCAAUUAGCUUUUAUGACUUCUUGUUAGAUACUUGCUUUCAUUAAUAGUAUGUGGUUUGGUGCUUUAUUUUGAUAUAUACACAUACUGAAAGACUUGUUUACUUGUAUUUGACUUCGUUUCCUGCAACUCCAACUAACUAGGUUGGAAGUGUUGGUUUAA